UGGCUCAGACCGUAAAGCGUCUGCCUACAAUGCAGGAGACCCAGGUUCAAUCCCUGG
rnacentral:tRNA from 1 species